GACGAACGCUGGCGGCGUGCUUAACACAUGCAAGUCGAACGGAAAGGCCCUGCUUUUGUGGGGUGCUCGAGUGGCGAACGGGUGAGUAACACGUGAGUAACCUGCCCUUGACUUUGGGAUAACUUCAGGAAACUGGGGCUAAUACCGGAUAGGAGCUCCUGCUGCAUGGUGGGGGUUGGAAAGUUUCGGCGGUUGGGGAUGGACUCGCGGCUUAUCAGCUUGUUGGUGGGGUAGUGGCUUACCAAGGCUUUGACGGGUAGCCGGCCUGAGAGGGUGACCGGGCACAGUGGGACAGGAGAGCGGCCCAGGCCCCCACGGGGGGGAGCAGGGGGGAAUGGUGGAAGAGGGGGGGGAGGCUGGAGGCAGCACCCCGGGGGGGGGAGGGCGGGCUUAGGGGUUUAAACCGGUUUCCGCCGGAAAGGAAGGGGGGGGGGGGGUAAGGGGAAAAGAGACCCGGCCUAACUCGGCG
rnacentral:rRNA from 1 species